CCUACGUGGGACAGCAGUGGGGAAUAUUGCACAAUGGGGGAAACCCUGAUGCAGCGACGCCGCGGGAGCGAUGAAGUAUUUCGGUAUGUAAAGCUCUAUCAGCAGGGAAGAAAAUGACGGUACCUGACUAAGAAGCACCGGCUAACUACGGGCCAGCAGCCGCGGGAAUACGUAGGGGGCAAGCGUGAUCCGGAUGUACUGGGUGUCACGGGAGCGUAGACGGCGGUGAAAGCCAGAUGUGAAAGCCCGGGGCUCAACCCCGGGACUGCAUUUGGAACUGGGCUGCUAGAGUGUCGGAGAGGCCGGCGGAAUUCCUAGGGUAGCGGUGAAAUGCGUAGAUAUUAGGAGGAACACCAGUGGCGAAGGCGGCCUGCUGGACGAUGACUGACGUUGAGGCUCGAAAGCGUGGGGAGCAAACAGGAUUAGAUACCCCUGUAGUC
rnacentral:rRNA from 1 species